UUGGGGAUGAGGACUUCAACAUAUGAAUUUUGAAGGGACACAGACAUUCAAUCCAUAACAACUACCAAGGCUGAGACUUCCAAGAAACAGGAAUUAAGUUUCCCUCAAUAGAUGUCUUCUCUCCUUCCUGAAAUUACAAAAGGUCUCCUGCUUCCUGUAUCUCAUGGAGCCCAUGUAUGGCUCUGCCCUGGUUGAGCUAUUGUGGUCUCUUGCCUGACUGCUGGCUGGAAGAACUCCUCCCAAGUUCUGAGCUCCAGGAAGCUUUCUGCCUACUCUCCGAAGCCAAGUGGUUUAAGGGCCCCCCCACUGAGUUUACCACUAUCAUUACUCAUUGUAUUGAAAUGACCUGUGUCUCUGUCUGCCUCCCCCUCAAAACCAAGUUCAAGGAGGGCAGGGGUCAUGUGUUAUUCAUCUUUGUAUUACCAGCAUUUAAUGCUGUGUCUAAUAAGUGCUAAGCAUGCAAUAAAUGUUGAAGAGAGAAAGAGAUGAGAAGGAGGAAGAGGAGGA